AGGGGCGGGAGUAAGCAGAGGUGCUGGAGCCCCCCGAGUGGGUGUGGUCACGUUGCCCAGCAAUGGGCGGUGAUUGGCCCUGGGCGGUGCAUUCGCAGCUCGUGCGUCACGACGCCGCCAGCUGAUCGGAGACUGGAGCCGGUGUGUGCUGGGCGCUGGGUAGAGACAGAGCGGUCGGCCGUGCGGAGAGGACGCAGUGAUUUUGCUCCCCUCUCCUCAGCAACCCCCACACCCAGCAUCAGGAACCUGAGCCUCCCACGCCCUCACCUGGCUGAGCCGCAGUAGUUCUUCAGUGGCGAGCUUUAUGUCCUGACCCAGCUAAAGCUGCCAGUUGAAGAACUGUUGCCCUCUGCCCCUGGCUUCGAGGAGGAAGAGGAGCAACUUCUUUGCCUAUCAUCGGGAAGGUGACAGAACUGGGGGGUUGGGAAUGGCUGGACAGCAGGGGUGAUGGAUGACUUUAAGGAAGGGAAACUCUGCUCUGGGGAGCCCUUACCCACACCGGCCCAGCAAAAGAUUCAGGUUAAAGGCCCUGACUAAACUGGGGAAUAGGUAACUCCACCUCCUCAAGGUUAGUUGAUCUCUGUGUGGCAAUGGGAAGAGAUGGAAGGAAAGUCUGUCUACCUGUUUAUCAAGACUUCCUAAUAGGGCUGUCUUUCUUACCCCCCCCCAACUUUCCUUUCACGUGAGGUCCAAAAGUAAAAGUACUCAUGGGAAAGGUGACACCAAAUUCUGAUCUAAGUAGUCAUCCGUGCGUUUUUCCUUUCUCUGUAUUUGUUUUUAGAUUGGUCCAGAUUUUGGAUUUAGGGGUACUUACCUCUAUGGGAUCCUUAAACCUGUCUAUUUCUCCACCUUUGAAAUGGGGAAUCCCAUAGAUGUGUAGGCAGGAGGGCAUCAGAAGUCCACUUGGGCUGACUCAGAGCCUGGCCUCUUCUCUUCCUGUGGGUGGAAACAAAACAGCUCUUCAUACAAAUUGUUGUCCCUCCCCCACCCCCUGACUACACACCCAGCUCUGGGGGUUGGAGUGGAGGGAAAGAUUAAGAGCUGGUGGGAGGCUAGUCCUAUGCUGACUUCUCAUUAUGCAUGGGUGACCCAAGGUUUCCCCUCCCCCCCAAGUAAGACUCGAGCUCCUGAUUGGGUCCUAGCAACCACUGCCAUUUAUUUUCUGCCUUUGCUUUCCAGGAUAGUGGGACUCAGCUCAGUGCUGUGCAGGCAACAAAUUGUCUCCUCCAGCCAGCAGGGGAGAUGGGUUGUAUGACUUGAGUCCCUUCUGCUGCCUCUAGCUCCUGAUUCAUUCUUGAGCUUGGGCUUGGGCUCUGAUAGUGGUUCAGCUUUGGCCCAGUCUCCCUAACAGAAGAUGGGUUCAGGGGCUGCUAUAGGAAGCUGUUUGUUCUGCUUUGCAGGGAAAGGGCGGAGGAGUCCUAGCCUAUUCUCCACUUAUGAGAAACUGAAAGUCAGAGGGGAGAAUAGACCACACAACCCCGUCCUACAGCAGCUUGAGAUGAGGGGUGUCAUGUGUGAGGGACUGCAGCAGAGGGGGUUGGGAGUCCGAGUCUACUCACACAUUGCGACAAAGAUUGCUCUGUCCCUCGACAUUGCUUUCUUCCCCUCCUCGCUUCACUGGCCACAGUGUGUCCCUCCAGCACUGGGUUCAUGGCUCUGCCAUCUUCAUCCAACAUGGAGCCUCAGAGGCGAGGAAGGGCAGCCUGGAAACACAGAGGCAGGCAGAAGACCAGUGAAGGACCUGGCCUGGAGCCGCAAGGGCCUAUCCCAGACAUUGGUCAGAGGGGCACAUAGAAGUCUGGAGAACACCAGGAAAGAGAGCAGCCAGCCUCAGUGAAAGACAAGCUUCCAGCCAUCUCCUCUCCAGACCUACCUCCCUUGGAGAUGAAGAGCCAUGAUGAAGCAUGGUCCCAUCUCUUCUCUACCCUGCAGUUUCUAUAUAAGCACCCUCAAGGAGCAUGGCCACCUCUGAAAGGAAAUACAGAGCAAAUUCAAAGAGAGAUUCAAAUGUCUAACACUGUGACUGGGGUUGUAGCUCAGUUGGUAGAACGCUUCAUAUCCCCAAAGCCCUGGUUCUAGCUAAAACUGGGUGUGGUGGCACAGGCCUAUAAUCCCUGGAGGUGGUAGCUGGAGGAACCUACAUUCGAGGUCAUCCUCUGCUACACAGUAUGUUCUGAGCCAUCCUGGGCUACAUGAGACUUUUGUCUCAAAAAAAAGGAGGAAAAAAAAAACGUAUUCGUUAGUAAUUGGAAGAAGGCAGACAUCACCAAAAUCGUUUUCCGUGAUCAUGAUGUGGCAAAAGAACACUCCCAUAAUUGCAGGCAGCAGGGUCAAGCAUUGUAAGAGAUGUCCUGGCCUUGUAAUUUUGUGUUAUAGAAAUGUAUCUUAAAAUCAGGAUUUGGUUAAAAAAUGUUCAUCUCAGGGUUACAACAGAGAACAAUGGAAAGAAACUGCUUGUUUGGAAAUCCAUCCCUUUUCUCGUGUAAUAAAGUUUGCAGUAGGGCAUUGCUUAAGUGAAUUAUGCUCAUCCUGAUGGUGGAGGACUGCAUGGCUGUCCAGAGUCAUGGAGAAAAAUGCUCUUGAAUAUUAAAAAGAUUAUAAAAAAUGAGUUUUGUCACCUUAAUUUUGUUUGUUAAACAAUUUGUUUUUAAAAUAUGAGUGCAUGCUUGUAAUACAUAGGUCUACAAAAAGAAGACUGAAAGACUCCAAAUGUUGACAAGGGUGAUUUGUGGGUGGUGGGAUAGAGCAAUUGUGAAUUUUCCCCUUGAUUUUCUGUCAUUUUAAGUUUUCUACAUUGUUUAUUGUUUUUAUAUAUUAAAUAAAUUGCAAAAGGUAAA